UACGUAGGGGGCAAACGUUGUCCGGAUUUACUGGGUGUAAAGGGUGCUCAGGUGGUUUUGUAAGUCAGAGGUGAAAUUUCGGGGCUCAACCCCGGACCUGCCUUUGAUACUGCAAAGCUUGUGUACGGAAGAGGCUGAUGGAAUUUCUGGUGUAGCAGUGAAAUGCGUAGAUAUCAGAAAGAACACCAGUGGCGAAGGCGGUCAGCUGGUCCGGUACUGACGCUGAGGUGCGAAAGCGUGGGGAGCAAACAGG
rnacentral:rRNA from 1 species